ACAUGCAAGUCGAACGCUUUGUGGUUCAACUGAUUUGAAGAGCUUGCUCAGAUAUGACGAUGGACAUUGCAAAGAGUGGCGAACGGGUGAGUAACACGUGGGAAACCUACCUCUUAGCAGGGGAUAACAUUUGGAAACAGAUGCUAAUACCGUAUAACAAUGACAACCGCAUGGUUGUUAUUUAAAAGAUGGUUCUGCUAUCACUAAGAGAUGGUCCCGCGGUGCAUUAGCUAGUUGGUAAGGUAAUGGCUUACCAAGGCGAUGAUGCAUAGCCGAGUUGAGAGACUGAUCGGCCACAAUGGGACUGAGACACGGCCCAUACUCCUACGGGAGGCAGCAGUAGGGAAUCUUCCACAAUGGGCGAAAGCCUGAUGGAGCAACGCCGCGUGUGUGAUGAAGGGUUUCGGCUCGUAAAACACUGUUGUAAGAGAAGAAUGACAUUGAGAGUAACUGUUCAAUGUGUGACGGUAUCUUACCAGAAAGGAACGGCUAAAUACGUGCCAGCAGCCGCGGUAAUACGUAUGUUCCAAGCGUUAUCCGGAUUUAUUGGGCGUAAAGCGAGCGCAGACGGUUAUUUAAGUCUGAAGUGAAAGCCCUCAGCUCAACUGAGGAAUUGCUUUGGAAACUGGAUGACUUGAGUGCAGUAGAGGAAAGUGGAACUCCAUGUGUAGCGGUGAAAUGCGUAGAUAUAUGGAAGAACACCAGUGGCGAAGGCGGCUUUCUGGACUGUAACUGACGUUGAGGCUCGAAAGUGUGGGUAGCAAACAGGAUUAGAUACCCUGGUAGUCCACACCGUAAACGAUGAGUGCUAGGUGUUUGAGGGUUUCCGCCCUUAAGUGCCGCAGCUAACGCAUUAAGCACUCCGCCUGGGGAGUACGACCGCAAGGUUGAAACUCAAAGGAAUUGACGGGGACCCGCACAAGCGGUGGAGCAUGUGGUUUAAUUCGAAGCAACGCGAAGAACCUUACCAGGUCUUGACAUCCCUUGACAACUCCAGAGAUGGAGCGUUCCCUUCGGGGACAAGGUGACAGGUGGUGCAUGGUUGUCGUCAGCUCGUGUCGUGAGAUGUUGGGUUAAGUCCCGCAACGAGCGCAACCCUUAUUACUAGUUGCCAGCAUUCAGUUGGGCACUCUAGUGAGACUGCCGGUGACAAACCGGAGGAAGGUGGGGAUGACGUCAAAUCAUCAUGCCCCUUAUGACCUGGGCUACACACGUGCUACAAUGGCGUAUACAACGAGUUGCCAACCCGCGAGGGUGAGCUAAUCUCUUAAAGUACGUCUCAGUUCGGAUUGUAGGCUGCAACUCGCCUACAUGAAGUCGGAAUCGCUAGUAAUCGCGGAUCAGCACGCCGCGGUGAAUACGUUCCCGGGUCUUGUACACACCGCCCGUCACACCAUGAGAGUUUGUAACACCCAAAGCCGGUGGGGUAACCUUCGGGAGCCAGCCGUCUAAAGUG
rnacentral:rRNA from 1 species